rnacentral:misc_RNA from 1 species
AGCAAGAGUGCCCUCAUAAUGAACUGCUUUAAAAAAAGCAUGAUGUUAAUGAUAGGGUACUUAUGAUGAGUGCUGACCAAUAAACUUUGAAAAUAUAGGAAUUAACACAAAGAAAGAAAACAUCAAAAUAAAAUUUACUUUUCCAAAUAGAAGCUUCAGAAAAUAGUGCAUCUUUAGCAACAAGGAUAGCUCAAUCAAUCAAAAAGAAUAGAAAAUCACUCAUAUUCGUGCACUAAGACUUGCAAGUUGCAACAUUAAAAUACUUGAUAAUCGCCAUUGGUGAUUAAAUAGACCACUUAGCAGUCAUGUGGAUUCAGUUCAAAAACAACCUUCCUAUCGUUAUAAGUGGCCUACUAUUAAGUCAAGCAAGUAUUGCCAUGUCUUGAGCAAAUCAGUAUCAUCUAGAAAGGAAGCACUUCAAAGACUUAAAAGUGAAAAUGGUAACAUAAGACAAUCAUCUAAAGUGGUUAAAGAGGUGAUUUCUCAUGAUACUCCUUAGGAACUUUGCCAUUACCAAAUUAUUGUCUUGUUUCUUUC